CUCAUUCCCGGCAUGCUGUGCGUCUCCUCUGGAAGGACUGGGCGUGCCCGGCGUGCUGUGCGUCCCCUCCGGAAGGACUGGGCGUGCCCGGCGUGCUGUGCGUCUCCUCCGGAAGGACUGGGCGUGCCCGGCGUGCUGUGCGUCCCCUCCGGAAGGACUGGGCGUGCCCGGCGUGCUGUGCGUCUCCUCUGGAAGGACUGGGCGUGCCCGGCGUGCUGUGCGUCCCCUCCGGAAGGACUGGGCAUGCAGUCUGUAGAGUCCGUCCACACGAAGAAGACUCCCAUCCACACCUUCCAGGUGGACCACCUGCUACAUGGAGUUAGAAGCCAGGAAUCACGUGACUGCCCGCCCAAUCGUGACCCAUCACAGGCUCUGUGCACAAGGCGAGUGGUAUUGAAUGAAGCUCACCUCAUUUCAUUCUUGUGCAUACAUAUAAGGCCAGGAGUGAGUUGACUAGACAGAAUUCGUCUAAGGUUUCCAAAAGAAGCAUCAGCCCCAGUCAGAGAAACCCCAAUGUCCCAGUCCCUCGUAGGAAGGCAGUGUGUGUGUGCCCCUUAAGGAGACCACCAUUGCAAAAUUAUGACAGAAACAGUGAAAGAGCUCUAACUUAGCUUACUCCGUCUUGCUUCUUACCUCCAAGCUGUCCUCGUUCCUUCCUGGGUAUAGGCUGAACUAACUUUGGGAGGAACUUAGUUUAUAGUUUAAAACAAAGACAAUAAUAGCCCUUUCCCAAAGCAAACCUCCUUCUUGCCUGGGGACUAGACCGCUUUUGUAGGACCUACAAAUUAGCCGCAAGAUUAGUAAUUAUGGUUUAGGCGUCAUGUAGCUGGAGGCUACAAGAUUCUGACCCUCCCUAAAGCGCUCCUAAGAUCCGUGCUUGAGGUAUUUUACAGACCCUGCACUUGAUGGAUCAGCUGGCACCACCCAGACCUGCAAACUGGCUCAUCCGUUGUGGCCCCCACCCAGGAACUGACUCUGCACGAGAAAACAGCUUCGGAUCCCUAUGAUUUCAUCUCUGACCAAACCAAUCAGCACUCUCAACUCACUGGCCUUCCCCGCCCACCAAAUUAUCCUUUACAACUCUGAUCCCCGAAUCCAGAUCAGGGAAUCUGAUCUGAGUCAUAAUAAAACUCCAGUUUCCCACACAGCUGGCUGUGCAUGAACUACUCUUUCUCUAUUGCAAUUUCCCUGUCUUGAUAAAUUGGCUGAGUCCAGGCAACCGGCAAGGUGAACCCACUGGGCGGCUACAUUACCACGGCUCAAGGCGUUGUGCUUGGAGCCUACGUCCAUGGAAGAGGAGGACUCCGUCAUGGAAUUGUGAAUCAUGUCAUUUUCUGGAUCAACAGAGGGUCACACUGACUACGCGGCCCUAUUUUUCCUGGCUUUCUGUCUGUAUUGCUGUCUUAUCAGUUUUAUUUUGUUUUGUUCUGUUUUACUUUGUAUUAUUGUUAUUUGUAUUACAAGAACUUUUCUAAUUAGGAAGUAAAUUCAAUUAAGGAUACUCAAUGAUUUUCUGUAUGUCUCAAAUAGCUGGCAC
rnacentral:lncRNA from 10 species